rnacentral:tRNA from 1 species
GGUUAUGGCUCGGUGGUAGAGUGCUUGCCUCACAUGUGCAAGGCCCUGGGUUCAAUCCUCAGCACCA